AUACGUAGGUGGCAAGCGUUGUCCGGAAUUACUGGGCGUAAAGGGUGCGUAGGCGGAUAUUUAAGUGGGAUGUGAAAUACCUGAGCUCAACUCGGGUGCUGCAUUCCAAACUGGAUAUCUAGAGUGCAGGAGAGGAGAAUGGAAUUCCUAGUGUAGCGGUGAAAUGCGUAGAGAUUAGGAAGAACACCAGUGGCGAAGGCGAUUCUCUGGACUGUAACUGACGCUGAGGCACGAAAGCGUGGGUAGC
rnacentral:rRNA from 1 species